GUUAGAAUGAUCAGCUACUUGGGUGUUGUUGUUUUUUGUUUUGUAACCAAAUAAGUUUAAUUCCUACAUAUUGCAUUUGCCUCCUCUCCAAGCUAACAAAAUAAUUCCUUUGGAAGGAGAAUUUCCCUGCACUCCCAAGCAAGUGUUGCAAGAGAAGAUUUAACAAGGAACUAGCGAGAGAGCUCAGCCAUAAACUUCGCUCCAAGCUGAAACUUAGCAUAGAGGGCCUCUAUGGGUGAUUUGCAGGAAAGGGAUUUCUACAGUGGGCAUGGGAGUCUCAGAAAGAUGCUGCCAUCUCUCAGCAAGAUCUAACCCUGCCAGCCUGCUCUUCUUGGCUGUGAGGUCUGGCACAGACAAAGCCAAAGCGAGACUGAGUCAUAAAAAAACAAGGCACCACCCAUUAUUUCAACACUGUGGAGUGACUGCUGCAGCGUGAUCUCAAGUGCCAAACAACAGAUGAAUCCCAUCCGGUUAAUUGUUGCCCCGGCCAGUCAGAUGCAGGUUGCUUGGUCUUGCAAUAAAGGACAAAAGUCCUUUCUUCUCUUUGUUGCAUGUAACAAAGAUGGUUUGAUGCAGCUGGGAUCAGGCCCACAGCUGAUCCCCCCCACCCCUCCCUCCUGUGCCACUCAGCUGGGCUCAGCUGGUGAAUCCUGGAGAACAGAAAAACAAUGUUUCUUAUGUUUCAGGCUGUUGGGGCUGUAAUUGGUUAGCCCAACUGUAUGUAUGGAGCCUCUCCCUCUCCAUUGAGGGUCUUACCCCGCCUUUGUGCUCUCCUGUUUGCAUUGCUCGGAGGUGCGAUGAGGGAACAUUCUGGCCGGGUUAGAGACACAGACACACAGUGACAGAAAGGGAACCAGGAGGAGAAACAUUUUGGAUGUGAGAUCUUUGUCGCCCAUGGGGAGAGUCUAUUACACAAGGCUGGGCUGAGGCCACUGGGAGCUCUUUGUCACUGAAUUUUAUUCACAAACCACGGGAACCUCAGGCAGCACAAACCGCCCCAGUGCAGGAGAUUCAGAGUCUGGGUGAUUUCGUCCUGGCCUGCUGCAGGAGCAAGAGCACGGUGGAGCCGGAGUAGCCAGGUCUGCCCCAGGUGCAGAUGGACAAACCGCACUGCUCAGAAAAUAGCUUCUCUCUUUAUUUCCCAGGAGGUGAUGCCCUCUCUUGGAUCCCACUGCUUCACCAGAUACUUCUGUCAUGGUGCAUUGCGGUUAGUGGUGAACACAGUAGCCAGAGAUAUUUU